rnacentral:rRNA from 1 species
AGCAGCCGCGGUAAUUCCAGCUCCAAUAGCGUAUAUUAAAGUUGUUGCAGCUAAAAAGCUCGUAGUUGAAUUUCGGGAUCAAUGUUUCGGUCAUGCCGUUGGUAUGUACUGAUAUUAUUGAUUUCUCACCUUCUAAAGAACCGUAAUGCCAUUAAUUUGGUGUCACGGGGAAAUAGGACUGUUACCUUGAAAAAUUAGAGUGUUUAAAGCAGGCUCACGCUUGAAUACAUUAGCAUGGAAUAAUGAAAUAGGACAUCCGAUUCUAUUUUGUUGGUUUCUAGGAUCGAUGUAAUGAUUAAUAGGGAUAGUUGGGGGCAUUAGUAUUCAAUUGUCAGAGGUGAAAUUCUUGGAUUUAUUGAAGACUAACUACUGCGAAAGCAUUUGCCAAGGAUGUUUUCAUUAAUCAAGAACGAAAGUUAGGGGAUCGAAGACGAUCAGAUACCGUCGUAG